rnacentral:rRNA from 1 species
AGGCAAGACCGCGAGGUGGAGCAAAUCUCAAAAAGCCGUCCCAGUUCGGAUCGCAGGCUGCAACCCGCCUGCGUGAAGUUGGAAUCGCUAGUAAUCGCGGAUCAGCAUGCCGCGGUGAAUACGUUCCCGGGCCUUGUACACACCGCCCGUCACACCAUGAGAGUCGGGAACACCCGAAGUCCGUAGCCUAACCGCAAGGGGGGCGCGGCCGAAGGUGGGUUCGAUAAUUGGGGUGAAGUCGUAACAAGGUAGC